UACGUAGGGGGCAAGCGUUGUCCGGAAUCACUGGGCGUAAAGGGCGCGUAGGCGGCCAUUCAAGUCGGAGGUGAAAGCCCAGGGCUCAACCCUGGAAUUGCCUUCGAUACUGUUUGGCUAGAGACCGGAAGAGGUAAGUGGAACUGCGAGUGUAGAGGUGAAAUUCGUAGAUAUUCGCAAGAACACCAGUGGCGAAGGCGGCUUACUGGUCCGGUUCUGACGCUGAGGCGCGAAAGCGUGGGGAGCAAACAGG
rnacentral:rRNA from 1 species